GGGGAAGGUGUCAAGGUGGGUGCCAUGCGUGCGGCGUGGUCGUGAAGAGCUUCGUGUCUACCCACAAAGAAACAUUAUAGAAGCAACGCCGCACUCACUUCUGACUUGGAACAUCACCCAGGUGGGAGAGGAUGAUGUGCUUCCAACAUGAAAGACGUCAAAGAGACUAGAAGGAAACUUUCCAAUUGACCAUAAAAGUACUGAACAUAGCUGGCCAUCUUUCAGUGAAGUAUUGCGAAUUCCUACACAAAGAACAAAAUGAAAGUGGUGAUUUUGGCUGUUUAUGAACUCCAG